rnacentral:rRNA from 1 species
UACGAAGGGGGCUAGCGUUGCUCGGAAUUACUGGGCGUAAAGCGCACGUAGGCGGAUUGUUAAGUCGGGGGUGAAAUCCUGGAGCUCAACUCCAGAACUGCCUUCGAUACUGGCGAUCUAGAGUCCGGGAGAGGUGAGUGGAACUGCGAGUGUAGAGGUGAAAUUCGUAGAUAUUCGGAAGAACACCGGUGGCGAAGGCGGCCCGCUGGGCAGAGACUGACGCUGAGGCGCGACAGCGUGGGGAGCAAACAGG